UACGUUUCGCGAGCAAUGUUUAGAAACAGUUUCCUGGUUCCGGUUCAUUAUUAUGCAAAUUCUCGCCUGGCUAAACCCGCUAGUCUGAACGCCUGGCAAAGUUAAGCCGGGCUUAACGUUGAGCCGGACUUAACUCAAGCCUGGCUUAUCUCCAAGUCUAAACGUAGCCGGUGGCACGCCAAGCCUAGUUACUAUAGGAACAUAGCCCGGCUUGAGAUAAGCCACCUAGUUCAGACUGGCAGGUGGAUAAACCAGGUGAGUUGAGCCGGGUUUACCCACCUAGUCUGAACUAGGCCUAAAUAGUUUUAAGGAUGUCUUUAUAUUAGCUUUUUGGCUUUUAUUUAUUCUCUUGUGUAAUUUUGUGAUUUCCAAAUUGAUAGGACUAAAUUCAUUUCUUUUUUUAUAGCAAACUAAUAAUUUAUAUUUUAAGGUAGACCUACUUGAUAAUUUGAUGUUUUUUUCAGUUUUUGUUAUUAUAUACUUUAUUUGAAAACAACACCUUUAAGAUCAGUGGUACUCACAACCAUUGCGGUGCGUUCAAAAUGGUAAAAAGCUAGUAAAAUUAUAAUUGAUGCAUACAGGUUAUGCACAGCAUAACAAAAGGUAACAGUCAAUAAAAUUCAAAUUUUAGAAUAACAAGUCGUUUUCACCAUGAAAAUACGUACCACACACCACAAGGAUUGACAAAAAUGCAAAUGAUACUUAGGAUAGGCCCUACUAAUUUACAUACAACGACAUACAAAUUUUAGAUUUUUAAAAUCAUGCUCGUCUUGUGCGGAUCGUACGUAACACGCGAAUUUACUACUGCAAUGAAGAUAAAAUGUUAGUAUGAAUGAACGCUAUUUUAAAUACGGAAAAAUAAGAUUUUGAUGGACAUUUAAAAACUAUUAUUAUUUGGAAGAUUACCGUAGCCUUGUAUUUGGCCUCGUUUUUAGCCAACUAUUUGCUGUAUCAGGACCAGAAAAAGCAGAAAAAAGGGGUAAUAACAAAUUGGUGAACCAUAACCAUUUACUGACUUCUGUUAAACUGGGAUGACACAAUGUUGGGGCAUGGGUCAUGACGCAACCCGACUAGUGGUAAUUGGGAGAAAGUGAUCUGGCCAAAACCGGUGUGGUUCCGACGGCCCUGUGAGUUGUUUUCGUCGUAUGCAGUGAGUGCCGAGCAUUAUCAACAUACUUAUAUCGCCUCCAAAGAUAAAUAACUGAUUUUUUUUUUAUAUCAUUUCUGAA